ensembl:lncRNA novel transcript
CUCUCCUCCCAGCCAGGGCUUAGCGACAACACAGCUACAGGGGCAUGAGAGGCUCAGAGGCCUGGUCCUCUGGCUGGUGGAGCCUUGGAGGCAGUAGUGAAGAUCCCUGGAAGAGGGAGGCCAUGAAGAGGGAUGCAGAUACCUGGCAAGCCCACCUCCCUUCUAUGCCACCUGCCAGCCUUCUCUGACAUUCCCAAACCAGGGACCAACACCGCCAAUCAGGGAAGAUUUACACGCAUUUAAUUAUCCUGCACUGCUCAGAUGUCAGUCUCUAAAUUCCUAACACAAAUGAACAGAAGACAAAAUCAUUUGCAGGAUUCUGAAAUGAAGUUUUUCAGCGGAACACAGAGAAACAGUUAAAUUUUGCAAAGCUGUGAAACUGGAGAGGGGGCUGUCCUCCAAAUCUACCAACCAGAGACCUGGAAGGAAUUACUUGCAUGAGAUUCAUUUCUCUCUGUCUUUCUCUUUCUCCCCUCUCCCCACCUAUCUGCACCA